GCGCUUGUAGCUCAGUGGAUAGAGUGUCUUUUUCCUAAGUAAAAAGUUAUAGGUUCGACCCCUAUCUGGCGCG
rnacentral:tRNA from 1 species